GCCAUCCUGAAAAUAAAAAAUUUUAAUAAAUCAGUUGCCAUAUAUACUUUGAAAAAAAAAAUUUGAAGCAACCGUCUGAUUUUUUUUUCGAAUAAAAAUUUUUCGAACAUCUACAAUGAGAUGCUCGAUCGGGUGCAUAAGUACACUCAGGCUGAGGAGGAGGAGGCUAUCUUAAGGUAGGCGAAGAAGGACAAAAAUGAAAAAAAAUAGCCAAGGGAGAAUGAUGAGCAAACUGAAAAUUCAAAUCAACCUCGAAAAAAUCUGAGGUC
rnacentral:lncRNA from 1 species